AUGGUAGGGAACCAUGGAGAUGCAGAGAUGAAAAGAAAAGGGGGCGCUGGGCUUGGAAAGAAAAAAGAUGAGAAGAAAAGGGAGUCGUCUUUCUUCAGGUGGGACCCCAGCUCUCAACAGAGGGUAUACUGUCAUUGUGAGAGGACAGAAAGAACUCUGGACAGCAGAUUGGAAGAGCUGGAAACUCUUCUUUUCUCUCUUUAUCCCUCCAUCUCUCCCUUCCCUUCUUGCCCCUUUCUUCUCUUCUUCCUUCACUCUUUCCUUCCUCCCUUCCUUCACUCUUUCCUUCCUCCCUUCCUUCACUCUUUCCUCCCUCCCUCCUUCCCUUCCUCCUUCACUCUUUCCUCCCUCCUUCACUCUUUCCUCCCUCCUUCCUUCCCUUCUUCCUUCACUCUUUCCUUCCUUCCUUCCUCCUUCACUCUUUCCUCCCUCCCUUCCCUUCUUCCUUCACUCUUUCCUCCCUCCUUCCUUCCUUCCUCCUUCACUCUUCCCUCCCUCCCUUCCCUUCUUCCUUCACUCUUUCCUUCUUCCCUUCCUUCACUCUUCCCUUCCUUCCUCCCUCCUUCACUCUUUCCUCCCUCCUUCCUUCCUUCCUCCCUCACUCUUUCCUCCCUCCUUCCUUCCUCCUUCACUCUUUCCUCCCUCCUUCCUUCCCUUCUUCCUUCACUCUUUCCUUCCUUCCUCCUUCACUCUUUCCUUCCUCCCUUCCUUCACUCUUUCCUUCCUUCCUCCUUCACUCUUUCCUCCCUCCCUUCCCUUCUUCCUUCACUCUUUCCUUCCUUCUUCCUUCAAUCCUUCCUCCCUCCUUCCUUCCUCCCUCCUUCACUCUUUCCCUCCUCCCUCCUUCACUCUUCCCUCCCCCCUUCCUCCGCUCCUCUGUGUCCCCGGCUCAUCUCCCUGGGGUCUCCCUCUCCCAUGCAGCCCCGGCUCUGGGCCAGCUCUGCCUUUGGGCUGCUCUCCAUUCUCUCCUCUUUGUCUGUGCUGCAUUCUCCAGUAACGUUCUCCUUCCUCUCUCCCUUUCUCUGGGCUCAUUCAAGUUUCCCUUGGGGUCCCGGCAACCCUUCCUGUUGUGGGGCGGCCGCGGAGCUCUCCCUCCGGAGAAGCGUCCUUUGGCCCUCCCUUCCUCCGGGCUGCUGGCUCAGUAUUCAGCCCGCCUUCCUCCCCGCGCCUCCGCCGACAUUCCUGUGCGAGUGUCCUCGGGGCCUGGAGCGAGCGGCUCAUAUUGUUUCUGUCCUUCCGGGCUUUUUUUAGCGUCUCCCCCCGUCCCGGACAUCCUGGCUGGGCGGGCGCGGGGCUGCUCCGGCUUUAAUCAUCGCUCCCUCUCGCCGUCGCCUCAUCCGGUCCGGGAGGAAAUGGAGUCAGCGCUCCGCGGCGGGGCCUUCCAGCCCGCUCGCUCGUCUUUCCGGUGA
rnacentral:lncRNA from 1 species